UACGUAGGGUGCGAGCGUUGUCCGGAAUUAUUGGGCGUAAAGAGCUCGUAGGCGGUCUGUCGCGUCUGCUGUGAAAUCCCGAGGCUCAACCUCGGGCUUGCAGUGGGUACGGGCAGGCUAGAGUGCGGUAGGGGAGAAUGGAACUCCUGGUGUAGCGGUGGAAUGCGCAGACAUCAGGAAGAACACCGAUGGCGAAGGCAGUUCUCUGGGCCGUAACUGACGCUGAGGAGCGAAAGCGUGGGGAGCGAACAGG
rnacentral:rRNA from 1 species